rnacentral:rRNA from 1 species
AUUGAACGCUGGCGGCAGGCCUAACACAUGCAAGUCGAGCGAGUGGCGGACGGGUGAGUAAUGUAUGGGAAACUGCCCGAUGGAGGGGGAUAACUACUGGAAACGGUAGCUAAUACCGCAUACUAUCAGAUGAACCAAUAUGGGAUUAGCUAGUAGGUGGGGUAAAGGCUCAUCAAGGCGACGAUCUCUAGCUGGUCUGAGAGGAUGACCAGCCACACUGGAACUGAGACACGGUCCAGACUCCUACGGGAGGCAGCAGUGGGGAAUAUUGCACAAUGGGCGCAAGCCUGAUGCAGCCAUGCCGCGUGUAUGAAGAAGGCCUUCGGGUUGUAAAGUACUUUCAGCGGGGAGGCGUUACCCGCAGAAGAAGCACCGGCUAACUCCGUGCCAGCAGCCGCGGUAAUAC